UGGGAAGCUGUUAUAUUAUUUUUCCCCUGUGAUUUUCAACUAGAUUGUAAUGGAUUUGAAAACCGGACAUUUGACCUGAUAGGAAGCUAAAGAAGGGGCAGUCCAGUAAUAUCCAGGAUGCCUGAGAGGGAUGCAACUGGCGACUAAGGGGUUAAAAUAGCAUUUCACAUCUGACACGCGCUUGGCUGUUUGAAGUGGAAAAUCUGAACAAUGCCACAGUGACUGUCCCACUUUGAAGAGGACUAAAAUGUGUUAAAUCAAAGCAAAAUAAAUAAAUAAAAAACAUCAUUGAUAUUA